rnacentral:rRNA from 1 species
GACGAACGCUGGCGGCGUGCUUAACACAUGCCAGUCGAACGGAAAGGCCCCUUCGGGGGUACUCGAGUGGCGAACAGGUGAGUAACACGUGAGUAACCUGCCCUUGACUUCGGGAUAACUUCAGGAAACUGGGGCUAAUACCGGAUAGGAAUCCUUGCUGCAUGGUGGGGGUUGGAAAGCUUCGGCGGUUUUGGAUGGACUCGCGGCUUAUCAGCUUGUUGGUGGGGUAGUGGCUUACCAAGGCUUUGACGGGUAGCCGGCCUGAGAGGGCGACCGGCCACAUUGGGACUGAGAUACGGCCCAGACUCCUACGGGAGGCAGCAGUGGGGAAUAUUGCACAAUGGGCGGAAGCCUGAUGCAGCAACGCCGCGUGCGGGAUGACGGCCUUCGGGUUGUAAACCGCUUUCAGCAGGGGCGAAGCUUGUGGUGACGGUACCUGCAGAAGAAGCACCGGCUAACUACGU